CCUACGGGGGGCAGCAGUGAGGAAUAUUGGUCAAUGGACGAGAGUCUGAACCAGCCAAGUAGCGUGAAGGAUGACUGCCCUGUGGGUUGUAAACUUCUUUUAUAUGGGAAUAAAACGUUCCACGUGUGGGAUUUUGUAUGUACCAUAUGAAUAAGGAUCGGCUAACUCCGUGCCAGCAGCCGCGGUAAUACGGAGGGUCCGAGCGUUAUCCGGAUUUAUUGGGUUUAAAGGGUGCGUAGGUGGAUUGUUAAGUCAGUUGUGAAAGGUUGCGGCUCAACCGUAAAAUUGCCGUUGAAACUGGCAGUCUUGAGUACAGUAGAGGUGGGCGGAAUGCGUGGUGUAGCGGUGAAAUGCUUAGAUAUCACGAAGAACUCCGAUUGCGAAGGCAGUUCACUGGAACGCAACUGACACUGAGGCUCGAAAGUGUGGGUAUCAAACAGGAUUAGAUACCCCAGUAGUC
rnacentral:rRNA from 1 species